rnacentral:misc_RNA from 1 species
UCCGUGUUAACCACGGCAGUCUCCCUAGAGAGCCCAACUAAAUGCUGGCAACUAAGGACAAGGGUUGCGCUCGUUGCGGGACUUAACCCAACAUGUCACCACACGAGCUGACGACAGCCAUGCAGCACCUGUCACUCUGUGGUAUUACUACCAAAGCUGUAUCUCUACAGCGAUCAGAGGAUGUCAAACCCAGGUAAGGUUCUUCGCGUUGCUUCGAAUUAAACCACAUGAUCCACCGCUUGUGCGGGCCCCCGUCAAUUCCUUUGAGUUUUAGUCUUGCGACCGUACUUCCCAGGCGGGGUACUUAGUGCGUUAGCGCCGGUUCGGCAGGGGUCAAGACCUACCAAACCUAGUACCCAUCGUUUACAGCGUGGACUAC